UACGGAGGGUGCAAGCGUUAUCCGGAUUCACUGGGUUUAAAGGGUGCGUAGGUGGGCAAGUAAGUCAGUGGUGAAAUCUCCGGGCUUAACCCGGAAACUGCCAUUGAUACUAUUUGUCUUGAAUACUGUGGAGGUCAGCGGAAUAUGUCAUGUAGCGGUGAAAUGCUUAGAUAUGACAUAGAACACCAAUUGCGAAGGCAGCUGGCUACACAAAUAUUGACACUGAGGCACGAAAGCGUGGGGAUCAACAGG
rnacentral:rRNA from 1 species